rnacentral:rRNA from 1 species
AACGUAGGGGUCGAGCGUUAUCCGGAAUUACUGGGCGUAAAGCGCGUGCAGGCGGCGGGUCAAGUCGGACGUGAAAGCUCCUGGCUCAACUAGGAGAGGCCGUUCGAAACUGACCGGCUCGAGGAUGGUAGAGGCGAGUGGAAUUCCCGGUGUAGUGGUGAAAUGCGUAGAUAUCGGGAGGAACACCAGAGGCGAAAGCGGCUCGCUGGGCCAUCACUGACGCUCAGACGCGAAAGCUAGGGGAGAGAACGGGAUUAGAAACCCCCGUAGUCC